rnacentral:tRNA from 1 species
UGCAUCCAGUAGGAAUUGAACCCUCAAAUUUACCAAUUAUGAGUUGGGCGCUUUAACCAUUCAACCAAAAGUCU